rnacentral:rRNA from 1 species
UACGUAGGGGGCAAGCGUUGUCCGGAAUCAUUGGGCGUAAAGAGCGCGUAGGCGGCCCUGUAAGUCCGCUGUGAAAGUCAAGGGCUCAACCCUUGGAUGCCGGUGGAUACUGCAGGGCUAGAGUCCGGAAGAGGCGAGUGGAAUUCCUGGUGUAGCGGUGAAAUGCGCAGAUAUCAGGAGGAACACCGAUGGCGAAGGCAGCUCGCUGGGACGGUACUGACGCUGGAGGCGCGAAAGCGUGGGGAGCAAACAGG